UGAUUUUGGUGGCCCUGCUCCUAGAAAUGCAUUUUUUUUCUGAGUUACAAUCUAAGAUCAAUAUCUAUAUCCUCCUCUUUGCAUCCAUGCUGGUUAUAAUUGCAAAGGCCUUGUUUGCUCACGUGAGUGAAGGGAGAAGACGGAAAUGGGUUUUCCCUACACUAAUGCAAUUCCAAAAGUUUGAGGUGGCUUGGAAGUGAAGGAGAUCAUGGAGCUUUUCAGUUCACAUGCUGGACAACAGAUUUAAAGAAAGCAUUGGUUGGAGAAAUGAUCUAAUGAUGAGGAUCGCCUUGGAAACUGUAU